rnacentral:misc_RNA from 1 species
GACAGAGGGUGCGAACGUUGCUCGGAAUCACUGGGCGUAAAGCGCGUGUAGGCGGACAUUCAAGUCGGGUGUGAAAUCCCUGGGCUCAACCUAGGACCUGCAUCCGAAACUGGGUGUCUUGAGUGUCGGAGAGGGAAGCGGAAUUCCUGGUGUAGAGGUGAAAUUCGUAGAUAUCAGGAGGAACACCGGUGGCGAAGGCGGCUUCCUGGACGACUACUGACGCUGAGACGCGAAAGCGUGGGGAGCAAACAGG